GACAGGCAAAGGCAUCCCAGUUCCUUCAGAAAUCUAGCCACACUCAGUAGGAGGUGGGAGAUAGACCAUGCACAAGUUCCCAAGAUGAUGUGUCUCUGGCAAUGGCAGAUGACAAGAACAGGAAGCAAAAGACAAUUUCUGCUGGAAGGAAGAGAAGGAACAUGUAAGUGCAAAGGAAAGGAAGAGCGGAUGUGUCCUUGCAGCCCCCCAUGGCACUGACAGCACAUGGAGCAGCCAGCACCUGAGCAGAGCUGACAGCUGACCUGUUGGAACUGGAACUCCACUUGUGUGUUUUCAGAGUUUCUCAGAAAGGACCUGUGAAAACGUUAUUUCUUCUUAUCUCUAGAAAGAAAAGAAAACUUUGAGGCCAGCUUGUGCACAGCCUGGUGCUUUAUCUGUGAGGAAGAGACAAGGCACACAGAGUUUGGAUGCAUUCCUUGCUAACAACUAUCUUCCUUCCUCUCUCAUCCACCCCAGGCAGGCUCUGCCCAUGCUGUCUGCAAAAGCCUCUUUGCCCUCAGCCCUCCCCUUCCUCCUUAUACUUCCUUAAGGGGUGGCUAGUGAAGGAAAGAAUUCCUAGGACAGAGACUCCUCCUGACCCUCUUGUCUAGACUCUGUUGACCUGGAAAGUGGCCAUUAUGUCCCUUGAUGGUCACGGAAGAAUGGCCUAUCCCUACCCUGUUCUGCCACUAGCUGUACGGUGGCUGUUCUAGGCUUGUCAUUACAUGCGGGACCAGAGCAGAGAAAGCAGAGAUCAGAGUUCUCAAAGCUGCACCAAAGCAACAAUGUGUGUCCUGGGAGGAGUGAGGUUUGGUAAGGAUUAGAAAGGCAGGCACCACCUUGUAUGCUCAUACCUCCCCUCCCCAUGAUAUGAAGUGUGGCCUGGCAAAAUCUAUGGGGGCACUGAGCUUCUGGUUCCAGGCAGAAAAACCCUGAAAGGAGCGGCUGCUGAAGUUCACAUGUAGAAGAGAGGAGGGAGGUGAAGAGAAUGAAAGGAAAUGGGAGAAGGGCCAAGUGACAAAGUGUGGCCUUCAAGGACUCUGUCAGAGCAUGAAGUAAGAUACCAGGCAAGUAGGCUAGCGCAGGCCUUUCUUCAUUUCACAGAGCAAUGGGUAUCAGCCUGGGGCUUGUCCAAUUCUCUUUACCUCUCAUUAUGGUUGGGUGGGAAAUGGCCCCCACAGGCUCGUGUAUUAAAAGCUGGAUCCUCAGCUGGUGGUGGUAUUUGGGAAGCAGGUUGGAAAUAGGGGGCAAGGUGAGGGCUAACUGAAGGAAGUAGGUUACUGGGGAAUGCAUUCUGGAAAACUGCCCUUGUCCCAGCCCUGUCCUGUCCCCCCUCUUCUUCUUAGCUACCAUAAUGUAAGCACCUUGGUUCUAUAAACCCUUCCUCCAUCCCUCUGUCUCACUGUGACCUAGAAACAAGGAGCAGCCAGGGACCAACGCUCCUGACGCAGUGAGUCAGAUAACCUCCUGUUCACUGCUAUCUCUAAAAGGCGUUACCUCCAAAUGUUGUUAGCUUAGUUUACAGAUUCAGUUUGUAACACAGCAACACAUUCAAACUAGAGAGCAGUUACCUUCAAAUCUCCCUUGCUGGUCAGAAAACUACCGCAAACGGUGGUUUAAAACAACACACAUUCUUUACCUCAAGAAGCCGUCGUGAGAAAUCUGGACGUGGAUUAGCUAGGUCUUCAGCUCAGACGCCUCCAGGCCAACAUGAAGGUGUUCACUGGGACUGUGAAUUCACCCCAGGUUCAACGUUCUUCUCCAAACUCACUGGCUGCUGGUGAAACUGAGUUCCAGGCAGUGGUGGGACAAGGCUCCAUGCUUUCGGUGGCUGUCAGAAACGGUCACUGCUAUCCUUUGGAGGCCACCUCUGUGGAAAGCAAGUUGCCUUCAGCUUCCAGUUACGUGUGGGCCCCAGAGACAUCACUACCUUGGCUGAGUGUCAAGAAUGUUCAGCUGAGUAUCAAGGUAUUGAAAGUUUUGUUGAAGACAAAAUCUACUGUGAGCCUUGGCAGGGCUGCUACUAGGAAUUGAUGACAGUUGAUCGAGGAAGAGGCACUCUCUCCUGGACAAGUGACUGCUGGUAGGUUGUCCUUACCCCAGUGCUUGACCCCACACCCAUGUGGGGUCAGCACAAUUGGAUUGGGAACGGUAUAGAUAAUAAAAAGAGGACAUGAAGUUUGCAGGUGUUAUAUUUCAUCUUGAGACAUGUUAGAGUCAUCUGAAGGAGGGAAGCUUAAUUGAAAAACUGCCUCUAAAAGACUAGGCUAUAUGCAGGCAAGCCUGCUGGACCAUUUUCUUACUUAGUAACUGAUGGGGGAGGUCCCAGCUCAUAGUGGGUGGGGUCAUCCCUCAGCCAGUGGUCCUGUGUGGGCGUGUGAGAGGUCAGACUUGUGAAGGAAAAAGAGAGAUGGAAGACAGAGGUGCCGCACACUCCUGGGACUCCCCGGAGAGUCCUGAUACAAGGCAUUAGAUCUAAGAUAUCUCCCAUACCUGUGAGACAUCGAAAGGGCAGUGGCUGCUUCCCCAUCCUCACAGAAGUCUAACAGCCCCCCGCCACACACACACACACACACACACACACACACACACACACACACACGCACACGCACACGCACACGCUCGCAAGUACUUCAUCAGGCAGGGAUUUCACUGGGGCACCUUGUCAGUGUGUCAAGAUAUGAUUGGCUGAGGAUCUAGGAGCUUGGGAUUGGCUCAAACACUGUAUAUAUACUUCUGCGCUGCACAGUAAACUCAGAUCUGUACCCUGAUGCUGGUCUCCAGAGUCUGAUUCCUGGGAUUUGUCAUAUGACUCCAUCACCUCUCAUUCCUACAGUCCUGUUCCACAGUCCUGGCUUCUGUAAGAAAGCAGGCUGAGCAAGCCAAUAAGCAGCAUGUCUCUGUGGCGUCUGCAUCAGCUCCUGCCUCCAGGUUUCUGCCUUUUUUUGAGUCCCUACUCUGACUUCCUUGUGUAAGCCAAAUAAAGCCUAUCCUCUCCAA